UCUCCGUUGGUGAACCAGCGGAGGGAUCAUUACCAACGUUUUACAACUCCCAACCCUUCCGUGAACCUACCUAUCGUUGCUUCGGGGUACUCGCCCCAGCGUCCGGACGGCCCCGCGCCGGCCCGCCACCUGGACCCCGGCGGCCGCCGGAGACCACUCAAUCCUGUAUCAACCAGUCUCUCUGAAUCCGCCGCAAGGCAAAACAAACGAAUCAAAACUUUCAACAAUGGAUCUCUUGGUUCUG
rnacentral:misc_RNA from 1 species